rnacentral:rRNA from 1 species
CCUACGGGAGGCAGCAGUGGGGAAUAUUGCGCAAUGGGCGCAAGCCUGACGCAGCGACGCCGCGUGAGGGAUGAAGGCCUUCGGAUUGUAAACCUCUGUCAGCAGGGAAGAACGGUCACUGUGCUAUUCAGCAGUGAAUUGACGGUACCUGCAAAGGAAGCACCGGCUAACUCCGUGCCAGCAGCCGCGGUAAUACGGAGGGUGCGAGCGUUAAUCGGAAUUACUGGGCGUAAAGCGCUCGUAGGCGGUAUGUCAAGUCAAGGGUGAAAUCCCCGCGCUCAACGUGGGAACUGCCUUUGAUACUGGCAGACUUGAGUGUAGGAGAGGAUAGUGGAAUUCCAGGUGUAGGAGUGAAAUCCGUAGAUAUCUGGAGGAACAUCAGUGGCGAAGGCGACUAUCUGGCACAUAACUGACGCUGAGGAGCGAAAGCGUGGGUAGCAAACAGGAUUAGAUACCCGAGUAGUC